GACGAACGCUGGCGGCGUGCUUAACACAUGCAAGUCGAACGGUGAAAGCGGAGCUUGCUCCGCUGGAUCAGUGGCGAACGGGUGAGUAACACGUGGGCAACCUGCCCCUCACUUCGGGAUAACCCCGGGAAACCGGGGCUAAUACCGGAUAUGACCUCCUUGGGCAUCCUUGGAGGUGGAAAGUUUUUCGGUGAGGGAUGGGCCCGCGGCCUAUCAGCUUGUUGGUGAGGUAGUGGCUCACCAAGGCGACGACGGGUAGCCGGCCUGAGAGGGCGACGGGCCACACUGGGACUGAGACACGGCCCAGACUCCUACGGGAGGCAGCAGUGGGGAAUAUUGCGCAAUGGGCGAAAGCCUGACGCAGCAACGCCGCGUGCGGGAUGACGGCCUUCGGGUUGUAAACCGCUUUCAGCAGGGAAGAAGCCGCAAGGUGACGGUACCUGCAGAAGAAGCACCGGCUAACUACGUGCCAGCCGCCGCCGUAA
rnacentral:rRNA from 1 species